rnacentral:tRNA from 3 species
GCUCCCGUAGUUCAACGGAUAGAAUAGCGGCCUUCUAAGCUGCGGAUCGAGGUUCGAUUCCUCGCGGGAGCG